UUCCCUUGUCGUCUAACGGCAGGACGCUCGGCUCUGGACCGGGAAACGGAGGUUCGAAUCCUCUCAGGGGAGCCC
rnacentral:tRNA from 2 species